rnacentral:rRNA from 1 species
CAAAGUACUUUGAGAGAGAGUUAACAGGGCGUGAAACCGCUAGCUGGUAAACGAGUGGAGCCACGAAGUCGUUUCGUAGAAUAAAGGAUACAAAUUCAAUCAAGGUUUCGGCUUUGGUGCACUUUUGUUUAUUCUUCUAUGUAUGCGUACACUGCAACCAAUUAGACAAUCAAUUGUGGAAACAAUUGUUCAACAUAGGAAGAAAUUUCUAUGUAGGAUAAUGAAAUGUUUAUAUGUUAGCUGUAGGUAGUCUGGUGUGAUCCUUGUGGUCAUUCUGGGUGUAUGACAUGCUAGCAUGAGAACUACAAUUGAAUACUGAUUGGCACAAUGAAAAUCCAUAAUUUGGUAUUAGAUAACACUGGCGAUGUUGUAUGUGUGUACAAGUAUUUAUUAUUAGCGUAAGCUUGGUAGUUUUAAAUUUAGGCUGGCAGGCUACCUUGGGUUUCGGCCUUUGGUGCUUGUUUAGUUUCCUAUCUAAUUGGCUAUUAACUUUGCUAUUAAUCUUGUGCUUGCUAUGAUAGCAUAUGUGCAACAAUUGUUUAGUUAUUAUUGGCAGUGAGUAGGUCGGCUUUCCACACGACCC